AACGAACGCUGGCGGCAUGCCUAAUACAUGCAAGUCGAACGAGACCUUCGGGUCUAGUGGCGCACGGGUGCGUAACGCGUGGGAAUCUGCCCUUGGGUUCGGAAUAACAGCUGGAAACGGCUGCUAAUACCGGAUGAUGACGAAAGUUCAAAGAUUUAUCGCCCAGGGAUGAGCCCGCGUAGGAUUAGCUAGUUGGUGAG
rnacentral:rRNA from 1 species